rnacentral:misc_RNA from 1 species
GAUGAAGAACGCAGUGAAAUGCGAUAAGUAAUGUGAAUUGCAGAAUUCAGUGAAUCAUCGAAUCUUUGAACGCACAUUGCGCCCCUUGGUAUUCCGAGGGGCAUGCCUGUUCGAGCGUCAUUAUAACCCCUCAAGCUCAGCUUGGUGUUGGGGCCUGCUGCACUGGCAGCCCUUAAAAUCAGUGGCGGCGCCAUCUGGCUCUAAGCGUAGUAAUUCUUCUCGCUAUGGAGUCCUGGUGGAUGCUUGCCAUCAACCCCCAAUUUUUCUAUGGUUGACCUCGGAUCAGGUAGGGAUACCCGCUGAACUUAAGCAUAUCAAUAACGGAGGA